GUUAGGAAUAUUGGACAAUGGGCGCAAGCCUGAUCCAGCCAUGCCGCGUGAACGAUGAAGGCCUUCGGGUUGUAAAGUUCUUUAGCCGAUGAUUAUAAUGACUGUAGUCGGAAAAUAAGCCCCGGCUAACUUCGUGCCAGCAGCCGCGGUAAUACGAAUGGGGCGAGCGUUAUUCGGAAUCACUGGGCGUAAAGCGUGCGUAGGCGGUCUCGUAAGUUAGGAGUGAAAGCCCAGGGCUCAACCUUGGAAUUGCGCUUAAAACUGCAAGGCUAGAAUCUCGGAGAGGAUAGCGGAAUUUCCAGUGUAGCAGUGAAAUGCGUAGAUAUUGUAAGGAACACCAGUGGCGUAAGCGGCUAUCUGGACGAGUAUUGACGCUGAGGCACGAAAGCGUGGGGAUCAAACAGGAUUAGAAACCCCAGUAGUCC
rnacentral:rRNA from 1 species